GUUUUCUCCUGAUAGAAGUCUCACUGUGUCACCCAGGCUGGAGUGCAUUGGUGUGAGCCACUGUGCUGGGCCUCCAGUGAUUGAUCUUUCCUGGUUAUUUGAUGAGAUCCCUAGGGAGGGGGUCUUAAGACAACUGCAUUUCUUUUGGAAAGAAGCUUUCAUAUUCAGAUAAGGAAAUUCCAGAGACAGUCCCUCCUAGGGUUUUAGGAAAGAAAGAGGAUCAGAGAGGCAGU
rnacentral:lncRNA from 1 species